AGUUUUAUGGGUUUUAUGUGUAUUGAAACUUAAUCAUUACUGUUUUCAUGCAAUUACAUAAAUGUUUAACAUAUGUUACUUUAUACACUAUUUUUUUUUUACCUUUACAAUAGCACCAAUGUCAUCAUAUGCAGUACCAUCAGCAUCAAUAUCAUCUGCAGUACCAUCAGCAUCAAUAUCAUCUGCAG